rnacentral:rRNA from 1 species
CCUACGGGUGGCAGCAGUGGGGAAUAUUGCACAAUGGGGGAAACCCUGAUGCAGCGACGCCGCGUGAGUGAAGAAGUAUUUGGUAUGUUAAGCUCUAACAGCAGGGGAGAAGGAAGACGGUACCUGACUAAGAAGCCCCGGCUAACUACGUGCCAGCAGCUGCGGUAAUACGUAGGGGGAAAGCGUUAUCCGGAUUUACUGGGUGUUAAUGGUGCGUAGACGGCGGUGAAAGUCUUACGUGAAAGCCCAGGGCUCAACCCUGGGACUGCUUUGGAAACUGUGGAGCUAGAGUGCUGGAGAGGUAAGUGGAAUUCCUAGUGUAGCGGUGAAAUGCGUAGAUAUUAGGAGGAACACCAGUGGCGAAGGCGGCUUACUGGACGGUAACUGACGUUGAGGCUCGAAAGCGUGGGGAGCAAACAGGAUUAGAUACCCGAGUAGUC